rnacentral:rRNA from 1 species
UACGUAGGGUGCAAGCGUUAAUCGGAAUUACUGGGCGUAAAGCGUGCGCAGGCGGUUGGGCAAGGCAGGUGUGAAAUCCCCGGGCUUAACCUGGGAACUGCGUUUGAAACUACAAGGCUAGAGUGUGGCAGAGGGGGGUGGAAUUCCUGGUGUAGCAGUGAAAUGCGUAGAUAUCAGGAGGAAUACCGAUGGCGAAGGCAGGUCUCUGGGCUGACACUGACGCUCAUGCACGAAAGCGUGGGGAGCAAACAGG